GAUGAACGCUGGCGGCGUGCCUAAUACAUGCAAGUCGAGCGAAUGGAUUAAGAGCUUGCUCUUAUGAAGUUAGCGGCGGACGGGUGAGUACCACGUGGGUAACCUGCCGAUAAGACUGGGAUAACUCCGGGAAACCGGGGCUAAUACCGGAUAACAUUUUGAACCGCAUGGUUCGAAAUUGAACGGCGGCUUCGGCUGUCAAUUCUGGCUGGACCCGCGGCGAAUUAGCUAGGUGGGGAGGUAACGGCUCACCAAGGCAACGAUGCGUAGCCGACCUGAGAAGGUGAUCGGCCACACUGGGACUGAGAAACGGCCCAGACUCCUACGGGAGGAAGCAGUAGGGAAUCUUCCGUAAUGGACGAAAGUCUGACGGAGCAACGCCGCGUGAGUGAUGAAGGCUUUCGGGUCGUAAAACUCUGUUGUUAGGGAAGAACAAGUGCUAGUUGAAUAAGCUGGCACCUUGACGGUACCUAACCAGAAAGCCACGGCUAACUACGUGCCAGCCGCCGCAGUAA
rnacentral:rRNA from 1 species